rnacentral:lncRNA from 1 species
UAAAAACCAUAUGAGAAUGAUUUAAAAUUAGAAAUCGUCCCAGCUUGGGACCUUCGGUUCUCCAACUUGAGAGUUAAGGGUUUGUUAAAACAGAUUACUAGGCCCAAACCCAGUGGUGUUCUAAUUCCGUAGAUCUGGGGUGAAGCCAGAUAAUUUGCAUUUCAAACAAGUUGCUGUGGGUCUAAGAGCACCGUGGUUUGGAUCCAGUGCUUGCUUCUCAAACUUAAAAGUCCUUAUGAAUCAUCUAGGAUCUUGUAAAAGUGGCGGUUCUGAUUAAGUAUAUGUGAGGUGGGGCCUGAGUUUCAGAAUUUCAAAUAAGUUCCCAGGUGAUGUGAAUGCCCUGAGGGGACCACACUUUGGUUAGCAAGGGUUAAGAUUAGAAUUCGGAAGUUCCCACAUUUGCUUUGCAUCUGACUCAGCAGAUGUUCCGGAGUGAAUGUUUGUGUCCCCCCAAACUUUGUACGUUUAAAUCCUAACUCCCGGUGUGAUGCUGUUAGAAGGUGGGCCUUCCAGAGGUGCUUGUCAUGAAGGUGGAGCUCUCGUGAAUGGGCUUAGUGCCCUUAGACAAGAGAUUUCAGAAACGUCCCUCACGCCUUCCGCCAUGUGAGGACACAGCAAGAAGACAGCGGCCUAUGAACCAGAAUGGCCUGCUUGGAAAGCCACGCUGGGACGCUCUCUCGCACGUUCAUUACGCCUUCUGUACUUGAUCUUAGAAUCAGCAUCUUAAUUUUCAUAAACACACCUUCUAAGAGUUUUG